UGAAGUACACUGUUCAGGAUGAUGC
rnacentral:piRNA from 1 species